rnacentral:rRNA from 1 species
GACGAACGCUGGCGGCGUGCCUAAUACAUGCAAGUAGAACGCUGAAGGAGGAGCUUGCUUCUCUGGAUGAGUUGCGAACGGGUGAGUAACGCGUAGGUAACCUGCCUGGUAGCGGGGGAUAACUAUUGGAAACGAUAGCUAAUACCGCAUAAUAUUGACUAUUGCAUGAUAGUCAGUUGAAAGGUGCAACUGCACCCCUACCAGAUGGACCUGCGUUGUAUUAGCUAGUUGGUGGGGUAACGGCUCACCAAGGCGACGAUGCAGAGCCGACCUGAGAGGGGGAGCGGCCACACUGGGACUGAGACACGGCCCAGUCGCCUACGGGAGGCAGCAGUAGGGAAUCGUCGGCAAUGGGCGGAAGUCUGACCGAGCAACGCCGCGGGAGGGAAGAAGGUUUUCGGAUCGUAAAGCUCUGUUGUAAGAGAAGAACGAGUGUGAGAGUGGAAAGCUCACACUGUGACGGUAUCUGACCAGAAAGGGACGGCUAACUACGUG